UACGGGGGGAGCAAGCGUUGUUCGGAUUUACUGGGCGUAAAGGGCGCGUAGGCGGUAGCACAAGUCAGUUGUGAAAUCUCCGGGCUUAACUCGGAAAGGUCAACUGAUACUGUGCGACUAGAGUGCAGAAGGGGCAACUGGAAUUCCUGGUGUAGCGGUGAAAUGCGCAGAUAUCAGGAAGAACACCCGUGGCGAAGGCGGUUCUCUGGGACGGUACUGACGCUGAGACGCGAAAGCGUGGGGAGCGAACAGG
rnacentral:rRNA from 1 species